GAUUCAAUGUCCAUUUAGAAUUGGAUAGCAGAGGGGAAGAAGCUGUUCCUGAAUCGCUGAGUGUGUGCCUUCAGGCUUCUGUACCUCCUACCUGAUGGUAACAGUGAGUAAAGGGCAUGUCCAGGGUGCUGGAGUUUCUUAAUAAUGGACGCUGCCUUUCUGAGACGCCACUCCUUGAAGAUGUCCUGGGCACUUUUUAGGCUAGUACCCAAGAUGGAGCUGACUAGAUUUACAACCCUCUGCAGCUUCUUUUGGUCCCGUGCAGUAGCUCCUCUAUACCAGACAGUGAUGCAGUCUGUCAGAAUGCUCUCCAAAGUACAUCUAUAGAAGUUUUUGAGUGCACUUGUUGACAUGCUGUAUCUCUUCAAACUCCUAAUAAAGUACAGUCGCUGUCUUGCCUUCUUUAUAACUACAUCGGUAUGUUGGGACCAGAUUAGAUCCUCAGAGAUCUUGACACCCAGGAACUUGAAGCUGCUCACUCUCUUCACCUCUGAUCCCUUUAUGAGGAUUGGUAAGUGUUCCUUCAUCUUACCCUUCCUGAAGUCCACGAUCAGCUCUUUCAUCUUACUGACGUUGAGUGCCAGGUUGUUUCUGUGACACCACUCCCCUCGUUGGCAUAUCUCACUCCUGUACACCCUCUCAUCACCACCUGAGAUUCUACCAAUAGCGGCUGUAUCCUCAGCAAAUUUGUAGAUGGUAUUUGAGCUAUGCCUAGCCACACAGUCAUGUGUAUAGAGAGAGUAGAGCAGUGGGCUAAGCAAUCACCCCUGAGAUGCACCAGUGUUGAUUGUCAGCGAGGAGGAGAUGUUAUCAUCAUGGUCAAGUUGGUAGAUAACCUGAGUGGCUGAAUUAAUGCAGGAUAAAUGUUGCACCACUGGCAGAAAGACUUGUUGAAGAGACUAUGGAGAAAGUUCAGCUCAGGGUCAAAAAGAAUGCUGAGUUCCAAAAACUCUGGAGAAGUUAUUAACAUUCAGCCCCAGAUUCAUCAAAGCCAGACUGCUGAGGCAUUACACUGACUCAGGCAACUGUGGCAUCAGUCUUACCAAGUUAGGAAGUAACUCUUGUACGGUCUCUCAAAGCUGCAGUUGAGCAGAACACAGUACCUCAUGCUGUUGCACAAUCGAGCAGGAGGGUGGAAGUCAUCACCACCAGAAACAGAUAAUAUGACCAGCACAGAUAUCCUGAAGAUGAAAGUAGAGAAAUGGCUGGAAUUCGAAUUCCCACAACAGCACCCAGGCCUCAUUUCCUUGUCCCCUCGUGACGAAGUUUUGCUCUUCACUCGAUGUGGUGGCCUGGUUUGUAGCAGAAACCAAUAUGUGACUUACUUUUUGUAUGUUUUUAUUCUAUUUUUAUUUAGAGAUACAACAUCCCAGUGAGGCUGUGACACCCACCCAGUGAGCAAUUAACCUACUGACCAGUUCGCCUUUGGAACGUGGGAGGAAACUCAGAGCAAACGGCGUGACCAGGCAGUCGCGGAGGAGCAUGCAAACUCCUCAAAGACAGCAGCGGAAUUGAGCCAUGGUCACUGGUGCAUUCACAGUUGAAAAAAGAAAAAUCUAGAAUCUCUGAAAAACUACACAGAACCAAAGACCAUCAGACAACCAAUAUGCAAAAGAAGACAAACUGUGCAAAUACAAAUAAAAAUAACAACAAUAAAUAAAUAAAUAAAUCAAUAAUA